CAUGGAGCGUGACUAUUUGAAAAGAUGGCUCUCCAUUCUGACUCAUGUUGGGAUCAUCUAUGGAUCGAGAUGCCCUGCUAUUCAAGCAAUCACCCCAGUGCAUAGAGGGGGAUGGAUGAGCAGAAGGAGACAGGGAGCUUUGGAUAACAACAUGUUCUGCUUUAAGCUCUUUUGGUUUACCUGAAGAAGAGGAGUGGUGCAUUUUGAAAGAUCCACUGUAUAGUCUGGCUGAUGAAAGCGUUAAAGGCUGGAUUUUUCAAAAAAUCCAGCAAGUUUCUUCCUGCUUGCACUCCUGCAUUAUUAGCACAUUGCUCAGUUGUUGUAAUUUCUCUGAGGCUCGUCUGAAAGUAAGAUGGAGAAUUUAGAUAUGAUACUUAUCGUUUGGAGGUUCUAUUGAAACCUUUCCUUCUGGAAUUAAAUUUCCCAUGAAACCACUCCAUCCAGAAAAAAAAAAGUGAGCUGUCUGAAAGCUGAAACUUCAAGCAAUUUGUUGCACAAACACAAGGCACACUUCUCUGGUGCUUAAAGUAAUUGUCCUGUCAUUUUGAUAUUUCAUGUAUAAUUCAAAAGCUUCCUUCUUUUAAAACUUGACACUUGUCACAUGGAGAGCAGUUGGCACACAGGAUGAUUUUCCAACAUUUCUGAUCAGAAAGCUGCAUUCCCCACCUGCCCCACCCCCUUUCCAUGAGAACUUUUCGCAUCACUGCUGCUCCCACAAGCUUCCUUGGUUUCCUCUUGAUAUUUCAAGACGAGUUGGAGUGAUGGAGUCGCAGCUGAAUGAGAGCCCUUCCGGGACUGUGAAUAUCUGAAAGUGUCUCUCCAUGGACCUGUGAUCUGUGGCUGGAGUGAGGAAACAUUCUUGCCCAUUUGUGGCAUGCAUCGUCCCACGGCAUGGAGGCUGGGACCUUGCUGCUUUUGAGAGACAGAUACUGCGUGUGUGUUGCAGCUGAAGAAAACAGGAUUUGAGAAGAUGGCUUCCAGUUGCUACCAUCGAUAUCGUAGGCAGUGGGAAAAGAUCAAAGACAUUGCAGAGUUCCAUUAAGGGUACUAGGAUGAGGCUGACAAAGUCUGGACGACAAAGAUCCCUGAGCAAAGGAUCGAACAUACAGGUACAUUCUGAAUGCAUGUUAUGGAGCCUUGUAAAACCUUUCCCAGGAAAAUACAGUUGUUCUAAGUUCCUUC